rnacentral:ncRNA from 1 species
UUCUACCAAUGUAGAAGACUUAUGCGGAUAUACCAACCGCGUACCUAGGAGAACUAGGAUUGGACUCCUUUAAAGGAGAAAAAAAUG